rnacentral:rRNA from 1 species
AGGGUUGCUGGAGGUAUCAGAAGUGCGAAUGCUGACAUAAGUAACGAUAAAGCGGGUGAAAAGCCCGCUCGCCGGAAGACCAAGGGUUCCUGUCCAACGUUAAUCGGGGCAGGGUGAGUCGACCCCUAAGGCGAGGCCGAAAGGCGUAGUCGAUGGGAAACGGGUUAAUAUUCCCGUACUUGGUGUUACUGCGAAGGGGGGACGGAGAAGGCUAUGUUGGCCGGGCGACGGUUGUCCCGGUUUAAGCGUGUAGGUGUGUGUUCCAGGUAAAUCCGGUUCACUUUAACACUGAGGCGUGACGACGAGGCACCACGGUGCUGAAGCAACAAAUGCCCUGCUUCCAGGAAAAGCCUCUAAGCAUCAGGUAACAUCAAAUCGUACCCCAAACCGACACAGGUGGUCAGGUAGAGAAUACCAAGGCGCUUGAGAGAACUCGGGUGAAGGAACUAGGCAAAAUGGUGCCGUAACUUCGGGAGAAGGCACGCUGACACGUAGGUGAAGUGAUUUACUCACGGAGCUGAAGUCAGUCGAAGAUACCAGCUGGCUGCAACUGUUUAUUAAAAACACAGCACUGUGCAAACACGAAAGUGGACGUAUACGGUGUGACGCCUGCCCGGUGCCGGAAGGUUAAUUGAUGGGGUCAGCGCAAGCGAAGCUCCUGAUCGAAGCCCCGGUAAACGGCGGCCGUAACUAUAACGGUCCUAAGGUAGCGAAAUUCCUUGUCGGGUAAGUUCCGACCUGCACGAAUGGCGUAAUGAUGGCCAGGCUGUCUCCACCCGAGACUCAGUGAAAUUGAACUCGCUGUGAAGAUGCAGUGUACCCGCGGCAAGACGGAAAGACCCCGUGAACCUUUACUAUAGCUUGACACUGAACAUUGAGCCUUGAUGUGUAGGAUAGGUGGGAGGCUUUGAAGUGUGGACGCCAGUCUGCAUGGAGCCGACCUUGAAAUACCACCCUUUAAUGUUUGAUGUUCUAACGUGGACCCGUAAUCCGGGUUGCGGACAGUGUCUGGUGGGUAGUUUGACUGGGGCGGUCUCCUCCUAAAGAGUAACGGAGGAGCACGAAGGUUGGCUAAUCCUGGUCGGACAUCAGGAGGUUAGUGCAAUGGCAUAAGCCAGCUUGACUGCGAGCGUGACGGCGCGAGCAGGUGCGAAAGCAGGUCAUAGUGAUCCGGUGGUUCUGAAUGGAAGGGCCAUCGCUCAACGGAUAAAAGGUACUCCGGGGAUAACAGGCUGAUACCGCCCAAGAGUUCAUAUCGACGGCGGUGUUUGGCACCUCGAUGUCGGCUCAUCACAUCCUGGGGCUGAAGUAGGUCCCAAGGGUAUGGCUGUUCGCCAUUUAAAGUGGUACGCGAGCUGGGUUUAGAACGUCGUGAGACAGUUCGGUCCCUAUCUGCCGUGGGCGCUGGAGAACUGAGGGGGGCUGCUCCUAGUACGAGAGGACCGGAGUGGACGCAUCACUGGUGUUCGGGUUGUCAUGCCAAUGGCACUGCCCGGUAGCUAAAUGCGGAAGAGAUAAGUGCUGAAAGCAUCUAAGCACGAAACUUGCCCCGA